rnacentral:lncRNA from 13 species
AUGGCGCUCACACCCAGCGGCGCACCCCCGGCAGGAUGGGGAGGGAGAGCCCACUGGGCUGGGGAGGGGUCCUGGGCCUGCCCCGAGCCCUCUGCAGCGGGAGAACGCAGGAUGGCUGGCGUCGCCAUCCGGGAGAGGCUGGAGGGGCUGCAGAUUGUGCCUCCCUCUCCAAAGCCUCGGGCAGCAGGAGAUGGGGAUGCCCGCCGGCACCCCUUCUCCCGCACCCGCCAGGGAAUCCUGGCGGAGCUGAGCACCACGGUGAGACGCCCCCGGCCACCCCCCGGCUCCCUCCUCCACCAUCCCCCUGGUUCACCCCCGGACACCCGCUCGGCGGGGCUGGAUGGGUCCGCAGGUGACACGUCCCGUUCCCGCGGGGCCGGUUCCGCACGGCUCCGGCGCCCCGUUGGGGAGAGCCGCCCUCCCGCACCGAGCACCGCUUCCCCCCACCCCCAUGCUGGGCACCGCGAUCCCCGGGGACCGGCCCCCCACUCUGCGCUGGGCACCGCGGUAGCCCCGGGGCCGCCCCCGCCGCUCUUACCCCGCACCCGCCUCCUACAUCCUCCGGCGGCUCCCGGGCGGUUCCCCGACGGCCCGGCGCGGCCGCCCCCGGCCCGGCUGCUCCCGGCCCGGCUCUGUUGGGCUCGACUGGUCCCGGCUCGGCCCGGGCCGGCGCCCCGCGCGUGGGAGCGCGGCGGGCGGCAGCAUGCGAGUGGCGGCGGCCCCGCAGUGCAGCGCGGGCGGGCGCGGAGCGGCGGGAGCGGAGCGGGGCCGCCGCGGCGCCGCCAAGACACGGCGGUGGAUUUUCCCCGGGAGCCAGAGCGGGCGGCGGCGGCGCAAAAUGGCUCCGGUGCGGCUCUGCCGCCGCCUCCCGGCGCCCUGGGACCCCCGGGGGGGGAGCGGGGGCAGCCGCACGUGGGGCCGGGGAGAUGCUGCCGGCGGGGCGCAAGGCGUGGGCUCUGCCCCGCGGAGCCGGGCUGGCACCGGCAUAAGUGGUACCCACCCGUGGGCAUCCCCUGA